rnacentral:rRNA from 1 species
GAUCAUUAUUGAAAUAAACCUGAUGGGUUGCUGCUGGUUCUCUAGGGAGCAUGUGCACACUUGUCAUCUUUAUAUCUCCACCUGUGCACCUUUUGUAGACCGGGAUAUCUCUCUGAAUGCUAGCAUUCGGGUUUGAGGAUUGACUUUUUGUCUCUCCUUACAUUUCCAGGUCUAUGUUUCUUCAUAUAAUAACCCCAAUGUAUGUUACAGAAUGUAAUAAAUGUGCCUAUGCGCCUAUAAAACAUUAUACAACUUUCAGCAACGGAUCUCUUGGCUCUCGCAUCGAUGAAGAACGCAGCGAAAUGCGAUAAGUAAUGUGAAUUGCAGAAUUCAGUGAAUCAUCGAAUCUUUGAACGCACCUUGCGCUCCUUGGUAUUCCGAGGAGCAUGCCUGUUUGAGUGUCAUUAAUAUAUCAACCUCUUCAGCUUUUGCUUUUUGAGUGUUGGAUGUGGGGGGUUUAAUUUUGUUGGCCUUUCUCAGGUCAGCUCCCCUGAAAAGCAUUAGCCGGAAUAAUUUGUGGACCCGUUCAUUGGUGUGAUAAACUAUCUACGCUAUUGACGUGAAACAGGUUCGGCUUCUAACAGUCCAUUGAUUUGGACAAAUUUUCAUUAAUGUGACCUCAAAUCAGGUAGG